AGAGAAUAGGAAACUUAACGCCUUAACAGGUGGUUAGUGUAUCGAUAUCUAUGUACAUGCACAUAUAUACGUACGUACUGGCAGCACAUAUUAUCAAGACUACUAAUAUUAUACUCUCAUAUGCAGAAGGAAACAAACAUUGACUUAGCUACUUGGAUAAAGGAAAUGAAGAGAAUAACUGGCAACGAGGAGCUUCAGGUUCAGCUUCAGGUGGUUCAGAAGGAAAGAAUGCGGAUUGUGGAGAGCAUUAGCAGCAGUCGACCAGAAGCCGCUGUGUGAGGAUGGCGUGUGGGACUCCUGCUGAAAUCCUUCCUCGCCCCCCCGACACUCCAUCUCAGCCAAACACCCGUCUCCCCAGCUUGAACACUCCUUGUUUGUGAAACUGCAGGCAUGUUGAAGAUGCAAGGCAGCUGGAAUCCUUGGAUGCUGGACAGACAUCCAGGGUGUGGAGUGUCUUGGUUAUUUCAGACUGAGACCAGUGAAUUUGUGUUCAGUUUAAGAUAAACUUGUCUCGAUGAAUUUUUCCUUAAUGGUUGCUGUUUAAUUUAAUGUUUGAUUUUCACUGGUUGAUAUCUUGAUUUAUCUAUUUAUCUAUAUAUUCAAGAUGUUACGAUAUGUAAACCUUCACUACACCCCUUCAUGGCAGGCUUGUGUUUAUUUACCCAUUUCACUUAUGCCUGAAGUCAAGCCUGCUGUUCUUUUUAAAUUGCAGAUUUGAUAAUCAUUUAAAAAAAUAUAUAUUUCAUCGGAAAGCUUA